rnacentral:rRNA from 1 species
CUCGCACACUGGCGGCGUGCUAAUCAUGCAAGUACCACGCUGACCUCUGGUGCUUGCACUAGAGUGAUGAGUUGCGAACGGGUGAGUAACGCGUAGGUAACCUACCUUUAAGCGGGGGAUAACUAUUGGAAACGAUAGCUAAUACCGCAUAACAACUUUUAACACAUGUUAGGAGUUUGAAAGGGGCAACUGCCUCACUUAGAGAUGGACCUGCGUUGUAUUAGCUAGUUGGUAGGGUAAAGGCCUACCAAGGCGACGAUACAUAGCCGACCUGAGAGGGUGAUCGGCCACACUGGGACUGAGACACGGCCCAGACUCCUACGGGAGGCAGCAGUAGGGAAUCUUCGGCAAUGGGGGCAACCCUGACCGAGCAACGCCGCGUGAGUGAAGAAGGUUUUAGGAUCGUAAAGCUCUGUUGUAAGAGAAGAAUGUUGUGUAGAGUGGAAAGUUACACAAGUGACGGUAUCUUACCAGAAAGGGACGGCUAACUACGUGCCAGCAGCCGCGGUAAU